UUUAUGUGGUGCUGAGGAUUGAAUCCAAUGCCUCACACAUGCGAGGCAAGCACUCUGCCACUGAGCCACAAUCUCAGCCCUAAAAUGCUAUUUUCUAAUGAGCUUUUCUGCUAGGAUUCCAAAGUAGCACAGAAUUGCAAAUUAUAUUAGUGCAGUAGCACUCAAAUUUUGGCUUUUACUCAGAAGCUUUUAAAAAUGCCGAUUGUUAGACUUGCCCCCAGAGUUUCUAACUGAGUAAAUCUGAGUGGGAGCCAGAAAGUUUGAUUCUAGCAAAUGUCCAGGUGGGGCUGAUGCGAUUGGUUUGGAGCCACAUUUUGAGAAUAACUACAUUAAGGUAAAAAUGUGUUGUUGUGUUGGAAUAAUCAUUGUAGGUGAUUGAAUCUGAAGUUGUUAAUAUUAUGAGAUUGCAAGCAUCUGCUGCAUAACAAGCUAUUCUAAAGUGAUUAUUAUUUCCAAAUCACUUAAAAUUUGAAAUAACUUCAUCAGCAUCUAAUUAUUUCCCAGUUGUAAUAAUUAUGUUCUGCUUUGUGUUAUACUUUUGUUUUCAUCCCACUGAAUAAAUGCUCUUGCAUAGAAGAGUAGAGAUCAGCAUUGAACCACAAGAAUAUACUUACCAGGUUAAACAAAACAAAACCAGUCAUUUUGAAAAAUUGGGUGAAGUUUAAAUCUAUUCAAAAUUUUAAACUUCAUUAGAGGGCCCUGCUUCUCUUGAGUCACCUAAGUCAGUGUGACUUCAGAGGGAAACGUUGUAACAGGAAGCUUUAUGUGGAUAAAUGUAUAUUCUUUCUAGAAAACCAAAGAGUGACCAGCUAUAAGAACAGACAAAAUAUGUAAUUCUAACAAAGAUGUGGUGUGAUUCAUUGUUUUGCCUUGCAUAUUACUAUAGAUCUUCAGGAAAAGCAGUUAACAACGCAUAUUAGUCACAAAGAUAUUUGUAUCCCAUGACCCC
rnacentral:lncRNA from 1 species